UGCGUAGGUGGCGAGGUAAGUCGGAUGUGAAAGCUCGGAGCUCAACUCCGAAAUGGCAUUGGAAACUACCUUGCUCGAGGGUUGGGAGGGGGGACUGGAAUACUUGGUGUAGCAGUGAAAUGCGUAGAUAUCAAGUGGAACACCAGUGGCGAAGGCGAGUCCCUGGACAACUCCUGACACUGAGGCACGAAAGGCUGGGAAGCAAAACCAG
rnacentral:rRNA from 1 species